AACGAACGCUGGCGGCAUGCUUUACACAUGCAAGUCGAACGGUAACAGGUUAAGCUGACGAGUGGCGAACGGGUGAGUAAUGCAUCGGAACGUGCCCGGUCGUGGGGGAUAACGCAGCGAAAGCUGCGCUAAUACCGCAUACGAUCUGAGGAGGAAAGCGGGGGACCGUAAGGCCUCGCGCGAUCGGAGCGGCCGAUGUCAGAUUAGGUAGUUGGUGGGGUAAAGGCUCACCAAGCCAACGAUCUGUAGCUGGUCUGAGAGGACGACCAGACACACUGGGACUGAGACACGGCCCAGACUCCUACGGGAGGCAGCAGUGGGGAAUUUUGGACAAUGGGCGAAAGCCUGAUCCAGCAAUGCCGCGUGCAGGAAGAAGGCCUUCGGGUUGUAAACUGCUUUUGUACGGAGCGAAAAGGUCUCCUCUAAUACAGGGGGCUCAUGACGGUACCGUAAGAAUAAGCACCGGCUAACUACGUGCCAGCAGCCGCCGUAA
rnacentral:rRNA from 1 species